rnacentral:rRNA from 1 species
ACAGGUGAGUAACGCGUGGGAACAUACCCUUUUCUACGGAAUAGCUCUGGGAAACUGGAAUUAAUACCGUAUACGCCCUACGGGGGAAAGAUUUAUCGGGGAAGGAUUGGCCCGCGUUGGAUUAGCUAGUUGGUGGGGUAAAGGCCUACCAAGGCGACGAUCCAUAGCUGGUCUGAGAGGAUGAUCAGCCACAUUGGGACUGAGACACGGCCCAAACUCCUACGGGAGGCAGCAGUGGGGAAUAUUGGACAAUGGGCGCAAGCCUGAUCCAGCCAUGCCGCGUGAGUGAUGAAGGCCUUAGGGUUGUAAAGCUCUUUCACCGAUGAAGAUAAUGACGGUAGUCGGAGAAGAAGCCCCGGCUAACUUCGUGCCAGCAGCCGCGGUAAUACGAAGGGGGCUAGCGUUGUUCGGAAUUACUGGGCGUAAAGCGCACGUAGGCGGAUAUUUAAGUCAGGGGUGAAAUCCCAGAGCUCAACUCUGGAACUGCCUUUGAUACUGGGUAUCUUGAGUAUGGAAGAGGUAAGUGGAAUUGCGAGUGUAGAGGUGAAAUUCGUAGA